rnacentral:rRNA from 1 species
CGUAACAAGGUCUCCGUAGGUGAACCUGCGGAGGGAUCAUUACACAAAUAUGAAGGCGGGCUGGAACCUCUCGGGGUUACAGCCUUGCUGAAUUAUUCACCCUUGUCUUUUGCGUACUUCUUGUUUCCUUGGUGGGUUCGCCCACCACUAGGACAAACAUAAACCCUUUGUAAUUGCAAUCAGCGUCAGUAACAAAUUAAUAAUUACAACUUUCAACAACGGAUCUCUUGGUUCUGGCAUCGAUGAAGAACGCAGCGAAAUGCGAUAAGUAGUGUGAAUUGCAGAAUUCAGUGAAUCAUCGAAUCUUUGAACGCACAUUGCGCCCUUUGGUAUUCCAAAGGGCAUGCCUGUUCGAGCGUCAUUUGUACCCUCAAGCUUUGCUUGGUGUUGGGCGUCUUGUCUCUAGCUUUGCUGGAGACUCGCCUUAAAGUAAUUGGCAGCCGGCCUACUGGUUUCGGAGCGCAGCACAAGUCGCACUCUCUAUCAGCAAAGGUCUAGCAUCCAUUAAGCCUUUUUUUCAACUUUUGACCUCGGAUUAGGUAGGGAUACCCGCUGAACUUAAGCA